AGGUUGCAGGGUGUGGCUCAGGAAUUCUCCACAGACCUCUCUCUCUCUCGCUCGCUCGCGUUCUUUCACUCACUAUCUUUGUCUUUUAAAUAAGCGUCGGGUUUUUAACUCUGUGAUUAUACUACUCUGGGAAGCGUCGGGUUUUUAACUCUGUGACUAGACUACUCUGGGAAGCCGUCGGGUUUUUAACUCUGUGACUAGACUACUCUGGGAAGCGUCGGGGUUUUUAACUCUGUGACUAGACUACUCUGGGAAGCGUCAGGGUUUUUAACUCUGUGACUAGACUACUCUGGGAAGCGUCGGGUUUUUAACUCUGUGACUAGACUACUCUGGGAAGCGUCGGGGUUUUAACUCUGUGACUAGACUACUCUGGGAAGCGUCGGGUUUUUAACUCUGUGACUAGACUUCUCGGGGAUAUUUUCUCUCCACCACCAAACCUGUGUUGUAUUUUACCAUGGGAGUCGUAGGAGGAUUCAAAUGCAUCAAAUACCUGAUGUUCAUGUUCAACUUCCUCUUCUGGGUGAG
rnacentral:lncRNA from 1 species